CCUACGGGAGGCAGCAGCGAGGAAUUUUGCACAAUCGACGCAAGUCGGAUGCAGCAACGCCGCGUGGGGGAAGAAGGCUCUCGAGUUGUAAACCCCUUUUGUGAGGGAAGCGGUACCUCACGAAUAAGUCACGGCUAACUACGUGCCAGCAGCCGCGGUAAUACGUAGGUGGCGAACGUUGUCCGGAUUUACUGGGCGUAAAGCGCGUGCAGGCGGACUGAUAAGUCAGAGGUGAAAUCUCCCGGCUCAACUGGGAGGGGCCCUUUGAUACUGUCAGUCUUGAGAUGCCUAGAGGAGAGUGGAAUUCCCGGUGUAGUGGUGGAAUGCGUAGAUAUCGGGAGGAACACCAGUGGCGAAAGCGACUCUCUGGGGGCGUCUGACGCUGAGACGCGAAAGCGUGGGGAGCAAACCGGAUUAGAUACCCUUGUAGUC
rnacentral:rRNA from 1 species